rnacentral:rRNA from 1 species
AAAUCCCACGGCUCAACCGUGGGGCUUGCUGGGGAUACUGCGGGCCUUGGGACCGGGAGAGGCGGGGGGUACCCCUGGGGUAGGGGUGAAAUCCUGUAAUCCCAGGGGGACCGCCAGUGGCGAAGGCGCCCCGCUGGAACGGGUCCGACGGUGAGGGACGAAGGCCAGGGGAGCGAACCGGAUUAGAUACCCGGGUAGUCCUGGCUGUAAAGGAUGCGGGCUAAGUGUCGGGCGAGCUCCGAGCUCGCCCGGUGCCGUAGGGAAGCCGUUAAGCCCGCCGCCUGGGGAGUACGGCCGCAAGGCUGAAACUUAAAGGAAUUGGCGGGGGAGCACUACAAGGGGUGGAGCGUGCGGUUUAAUUGGAUUCAACGCCGGGAACCUCACCGGGGGCGACGGCAGGAUGAAGGCCAGGCUGAAGGUCUUGCCGGACACGCCGAGAGGAGGUGCAUGGCCGCCGUCAGCUCGUACCGUGAGGCGUCCACUUAAGUGUGGUAACGAGCGAGACCCGCGCCCCCAGUUGCCAGUCCCUCCCGUUGGGAGGGAGGCACUCUGGGGGGACCGCCGGCGAUAAGCCGGAGGAAGGAGCGGGCGACGGUAGGUCAGUAUGCCCCGAAACCCCCGGGCUACACGCGCGCUACAAUGGGCGGGACAAUGGGAUCCGACCCCGAAAGGGGAAGGAAAUCCCCUAAACCCGCCCUCAGUUCGGAUCGCGGGCUGCAACUCGCCCGCGUGAAGCUGGAAUCCCUAGUACCCGCGUGUCAUCAUCGCGCGGCGAAUACGUCCCUGCUCCUUGCACACACCGCCUGUCACUCCACCCGAGCGGGGUCCGGGUGAGGCUCGGUCUCCCUUCGGGGAGGCCGGGUCGAGCCCGGGCUCCGUGAGGGGGGAGAAGUCGUAACAAGGUAGCCGUAGGGGAACCUACGGCUCGAUCACCUCCU